rnacentral:rRNA from 1 species
CCUUUCAGAGGGGGAUACCGAUUGGAAACGAUCGUUAAUACCGCAUAACAUAAUUGAACCGCAUGAUUUGAUUAUCAAAGAUUUAUCGCUGAAAGAUGAGCUCGCGUCUGAUUAGCUAGUUGGUAAGGUAACGGCUUACCAAGGCGACGAUCAGUAGCCGGACUGAGAGGUUGAUCGGCCACAUUGGGACUGAGACACGGCCCAGACUCCUACGGGAGGCAGCAGUGGGGAAUAUUGCACAAUGGAGGAAACUCUGAUGCAGCGAUGCCGCGUGAGGGAAGAAGGUUUUAGGAUUGUAAACCUCUGUCUUCAGGGACGAAAAAUGACGGUACCUGAGGAGGAAGCUCCGGCUAACUACGUGCCAGCAGCCGCGGUAAUACGUAGGGAGCGAGCGUUGUCCGGAAUUACUGGGUGUAAAGGGAGCGUAGGCGGGAUCGCAAGUCAGAUGUGAAAACUAUGGGCUUAACCCAUAAACUGCAUUUGAAACUGUGGUUCUUGAGUGAAGUAGAGGUAAGCGGAAUUCCUAGUGUAGCGGUGAAAUGCGUAGAUAUUAGGAGGAACAUCAGUGGCGAAGGCGGCUUACUGGGCUUUAACUGACGCUGAGGCUCGAAAGCGUGGGGAGCAAACAGGAUUAGAUACCCUGGUAGUCCACGCCGUAAACGAUGAUUACUAGGUGUGGGGGGACUGACCCCUUCCGUG